GCGGCAGCGCGGGGGCAACCCUGGCGGCGAGCGGCGAACGGGUGAGUAACAUAUCGGAACGUACCCCGUCGUGGGGGAUAACACAGCGAAAGCUGUGCUAAUACCGCAUACGACCUGAGGGUGAAAGCGGGGGACCGUAAGGCCUCGCGCGAUGGGAGCGGCCGAUAUCGGAUUAGCUUGUUGGUGAGGUAAAGGCUCACCAAGGCGACGAUCCGUAGCUGGUCUGAGAGGACGACCAGCCACACUGGAACUGAGACACGGUCCAGACUCCUACGGGAGGCAGCAGUGGGGAAUUUUGGACAAUGGGGGCAACCCUGAUCCAGCCAUUCCGCGUGAGUGAAGAAGGCCUUCGGGUUGUAAAGCUCUUUCAGCAGGAACGAAACGGUGGCCCCUAAUACGGGCUACUAAUGACGGUACCUGAAGAAGAAGCACCGGCUAACUACGUGCCAGCAGCCGCGGUAAUACGUAGGGUGCGAGCGUUAAUCGGAAUUACUGGGCGUAAAGCGUGCGCAGGCGGUUAUGUAAGACAGGUGUGAAAUCCCCGGGCUCAACCUGGGAACUGCGCUUGUGACUGCAUAACUCGAGUGUGGCAGAGGGGGGUGGAAUUCCACGUGUAGCAGUGAAAUGCGUAGAGAUGUGGAGGAACACCGAUGGCGAAGGCAGCCCCCUGGGUCAACACUGACGCUCAUGCACGAAAGCGUGGGGAGCAAACAGGAUUAGAUACCCUGGUAGUCCACGCCCUAAACGAUGCGAACUAGGUGUUGGGGAAGGAGACUUUCUUAGUACCGCAGCUAACGCGUG
rnacentral:rRNA from 1 species